UAAAUUUGCGACCGCUUAGGUGAUAGAGUUUGUCUACCGACAAUUCUAUAAAAGGGAAUCCGGUUAGAAUCCGGAACAGUGCCCGCUACUGUGAAGCUCUUGAAAAGGAAAGCGUUCUGCUAUGCCACUGUCUUAAGAAAGAUGGGAAGGUUGCUUUCCGAGCCAGUCAGGAAACCUGCCAAGCGAAGUAAUGAUUA
rnacentral:ncRNA from 2 species